GCCAAGUAAGCUGACAGCUCUGUAGUGG
rnacentral:piRNA from 1 species